rnacentral:misc_RNA from 1 species
UUUCAUUCUAGCAAAUCAAGGAGUGCCAUGUGGCAUCACCCCCCCAACUAUUCAUUCAAAAAAGAAGAGUUCAAAAGGUACCAAUUAAGCCUGAAGACUUGGACAUUUUAGAGGGAUCUAAUGAUCUAUUGCCUCUAAAAAUAGUAUUUAUGAGUGGGUAUUGAGUAAUAGACUAAUAGGAGGAUAUAAGGAUGGGGUCCAGGCUACCAUUGUAGCUCAGACACUCGCCCUAGUUUAGUUACUUAGACACUCUCCCUAGUUUAAUUACUUGGACAUUGCCCUAGUUUAGUUGCUCAGACACUCGCCCUAGUUAUUUGGGCUAAUCACUAAAAGAUAAGAAUCCGGAGAUAUUCG